rnacentral:rRNA from 1 species
AUAUGGACCUCGGAUCAGGUAGGG